rnacentral:misc_RNA from 1 species
UGGCCGCCACCGUCGUCUAUUCUCGUAGGUAAAGAAGAAAAAAAAAAUUCAAGACAAAAAAGUUCUUAAAAUCCUAUAAGAUUUCAAAUCCAAAGCUCCAAAAUUCAAAAUUGGUCUCUUCUUCAUUUUCACCACCAAAGAAUUUAUAGAUAAGAUAGAUAGAUGUUAACGGAACGGAAACCAUUAAUGAGAGCCCUAAGGCGAAGCCACACUUCAUCUUCUUCGCCGUCAAAUUCCUCGUCACCGUCGUCUUCGUCGUCGUCGUCGUGGAUUCAUUUGCGAUCAGUCUUACUAGUAGUUGCUUUCUUAUCUUCGUCGUCGUCCCCAUCAUCAUCUUCCUCAC